CUACAAACUGUUACCAGGACAUCAAAGUAAAGAGAACACCUAUGGAACAGUAUGAUAAUACAUUCUUAAAAUCUCUCCAGAGAAAGGCUCCAUUCUAAAAACAGCAACUUGGAAUUACAUAGGCUUGGAAGACUAUAAAGUACAAAUCCUUGUCUGCAGAAAAAAUGAAGCUACUAAAGGUAAAGAAAUCAUCAUCAAGAUGCAGCUAGAUGGCAUAAUGGAUAGAGCACCAGCCCUGAAGUCAGGAGGACCUGAAUUGAAAUCUGGUCUCAGACACUUAACACUUCCUAGCUGUGUGACCCGGGCAAGUCACUUAACUCCAAUUGCCUCAGCAAAAAAAGAAAUCAUCAUCAUUUUGAUUCUUCAUCUUGACAAAAUAUUUCAAUAGACCAAGUUGAAAGCUCAGUGGUGAGGACUCUUUCCUGCAAAAUGUCACCAAUGAUGAACUAUUCAACAGCCCUGGAGAUAAUGGGUCACAAAGGCUAGAGAAGAAGGAAUCAAGCAAAGAAUUUCAUCAAGGACAGAAACCCCUAAAAGUGAAUUUACUAUAUAAAGUAAUACCUGAAGAUUGUUGGCAAAUCACAUUCCAGAAAAAAAUGCAUCAAGAUAGAUAAAAGGAUUAAAAAACAUUGACAGUUCACUUGGGACUGUUGCAGAUAUUGUGGGAGGCUGUAUAUCUCUGCUGCCCUAUAAUUAUCACAGGUUAUAGAGGCCAUGAAAGUCUCAUAUCAAUUUUGUCCCAUGAGAAAUGCAGAGGAACAUGUUGGACAACUAUGCUCAUUGCCACCAUUGAUCCUCUGUUAAGAAUGGUUUGACCCCAAUAGGACUACCCAGCAAGUUCUUUGAAAAAAAAAUUGGAAAGCAGCCUGGGAAAGCAGGGCAAAUGUGAAUGGAAGGAUAGAAGAAGAAAUCCCAACAGCUUUCUCCAGUCUUCCAAGUGGGCCUUCACAUAUGGCUUCAUUAUUUCAUUUUAAAAAGCAUUGUGAAUUCACAGCUGCCAGAGAAAUCCCAUAUAGAAAUGGAAUUGUGCUGGAGGCAAAAACAUGGUCC
rnacentral:lncRNA from 1 species